GCUUUCCUCAUGCAGAAGGGAUGUUUCUCAGCUGCAGCAGCCGCAGGCAAUGAGCAGCCGGACACAGAAGCACUUCAGCUGCACCAGGCAGAAGCAGCAGGCAAAGUUCUCCAGCCCACACUUUGCCCUGUGCCCCUGGGGAAGAGGGUUCCUUUGCAACCGAUAUGAACGGAGUGUGUGGGAGAGACGCUGCGUGGAACCCGCAAAUGUGUUUCUGGAAGGGUGCCAAAUGGCCACCAGAGGAUUUAAUUUGUCAAUAAGCUGCACGAAUGCCCAGGCCACCUCCAUCUGCUGCUGUGACAGAACACAAUUAACAGGAAAAUCCCAGACCUUCUCCUCUCUCUUGAUACUGGAGUUUUCUGGCUGAGCAAUUUGACAUCAUCAUCAUCACAGACAUUUCCCCUAUCUCUAUAGCAACGUAUGAUGAUGCCACAAACAGAAGAUUAUGCAAUCUGUGUAGACUCAGAUGGAAGGAGAGGCAGGGCUGGGAGCUGUGAUUUAAACACAAAUGUCUCUAAUAGCAGCAAGGGGAAUACAGAAACUUUUUGGCCAUGGAAAUGGUUUUAGUAUAAACAUUCUCAUCUUCCAAGUUUUGCUCCGGUGGGAAAGUUUCUCCUUAAAGUCCUCUUAUACAUAUGUGUGUUGUAUAUACACGUUCACACACAGAUAUAUUUAUUUAUGUGUAAAAGAAUGCAAUGAUUAUGCAAAUGCACUAUUGUUCCCACCAUUGUGCAGGCAGGGAUGUGCAUGCAUACUGUGCACCAUUGUGCAGGCAGGGAUGCUGCCAGCACCCUAAACAUAACCUCUACAUUUUCGAAGACCUACCGUGCUCUGCUCAUGUCAGGCACAAAAAUGCUGUGGAUCUGCCCAGAUCUCAUGUUCCCUUUUCAGCUGAGGGCUGCUGCAUCAGACCCUACUGAAUGUCUUUUUUUUUCAUGUAUGAUAUAGGAAUGAUUGUGUCCUUGGCUAGGUGGGACCAGCAUCCUCCUCUUUCAGACCCACUCUAUCCUUUCCCUACCAGCUUUGUCCUGCAGUUAAGGCAGAGAAGGAGAAGGGCCAGUUUGAAAUCUCAACCCUCACAAAGACUUUCUAGCUAAGCCUAAGGAAGUGCCUUUGAAACCCUCUCUGUGCCUCAGUUUCUCCUGCAGUAGGACUAAUAAGCCUCAGUUCUUAAAGAAGUGGUGAGAAUAACUCCACUCUAUUUCAAAUGCUCAGACUCUUCAAUAAGGGGAUCCAUGGAGACUUUGAAAAACACACUUAUGGGUGCUUCUUCUAUGUUUAUCUUGUUUUUAUUGAACAUACAAAUGCAUCCUAUCUAGCACACGUCAGAAUCAAUAACUAUGCCUUGUUAGCAGUUUUUCCAUUUAUGGCAUAUUGUCCUGACAUAGCUGUAAAACCUCAAUGAAUAUGGUUUUAAUAACCCAAUGGUAUUUAACGUACAAUCGCUGUCUUAUUAAGUCUAAAUUAAAUCCUUACUUGAGACAUUUAAUUUAAAGUGUGACUGAUCUUUUCCUGGCCUGGAAGGAGAUACUUAAAUGACACUUCUUCCAAUUUGGCCACGUGGCUGAGGGGGUGGGAUUUAAAUUAUAUAUUUUGAUGAU
ensembl:lncRNA